CGCCCAACAGCUAGCCCAUCCAAACAAUUUCAACUAACCCCUGUUAAUAACCCCUAAAUACCCCAGUAUUUAAAUUAAACAAACCAUUUUUCCCCCUUAGUAUAGGCGAUAGAAAAGGGAUUCUGGCGCAAUAGAGAAAGUACCGCAAGGGAAUGCUGAAAGAGAAAUGAAAUAACCCAGCAAAGCCUUAAAAAGCAGAGAUAUAAUCUCGUACCUUUUGCAUCAUGAUUUAGCAAGUGAACCCCAAGCAAAGAGUAUUUUAGUUUGACGUCCCGAAACUACGUGAGCUACUCCAAGAUAGCCUAUUAAUAGGGCGCACCCGUCCCUGUGGCAAAAGGGUGGGGAGAACUUUGAGUAGAGGUGAUAAACCUACCGAACUUAGUUAUAGCUGGUUGUCCAAGAAAUGAAUAGAAGUUCAGCCCCUUGGCUCCUCUUUUCACCUUAGUUUAACUCCUAUUGAUGCACCUGAGAAACCGAGGGAGUUAGUCAAAGGGGGUACAGCCCCUUGAAUCAAGACACAACUUUAUUAGGUGGGUAAAGAUCAUA
rnacentral:rRNA from 1 species